AGUGAACGCUGGCGGUAGGCCUAACACAUGCAAGUCGAACGGCAGCACAGUAAGAGCUUGCUCUUACGGGUGGCGAGUGGCGGACGGGUGAGGAAUACAUCGGAAUCUACUUUUUCGUGGGGGAUAACGUAGGGAAACUUACGCUAAUACCGCAUACGACCUACGGGUGAAAGCAGGGGAUCUUCUGACCUUGCGCGAUUGAAUGAGCCGAUGUCGGAUUAGCUAGUUGGCGGGGUAAAGGCCCACCAAGGCGACGAUCCGUAGCUGGUCUGAGAGGAUGAUCAGCGACACUGGAACUGAGACACGGUCCAGACUCCUACGGGAGGCAGCAGUGGGGAAUAUUGGACAAAGGGCGCAAGCAUGAUCCAGCCAUACCGCGUGGGUGAAGAAGGACUUCGGGUUGUAAAGCCCUUUUGUUGGGAAAGAAAAGCAGCAGGUUAAUACCCAGCUGUUCUGACGGUACCCAAAGAAUAAGCACCGGCUAACUUCGUG
rnacentral:rRNA from 1 species